rnacentral:rRNA from 1 species
ACGAACGCUGGCGGCGUGCUUAACACAUGCAAGUCGAACGAGGUCCACGGUGUAGCAAUACACUUGAAGACCUAGUGGCGAACGGGUGCGUAACACGUGAGGAACUUGUCCCGGUCUCUGGGAUAACAGUUGGAAACGACUGCUAAUACCGGAUGACGUCGGAGCAUCGCAUGGUGCGCUGACGAAAGGGUUACUGGAUCGGGAGAGCCUCGCGGCCUAUCAGCUUGUUGGUGGGGUAACGGCCCACCAAGGCAUCGACGGGUAGCUGGUCUGAGAGGAUGAUCAGCCACACUGGGACUGAGACACGGCCCAGACUCCUACGGGAGGCAGCAGUGGGGCAUCUUGCGCAAUGGGCGAAAGCCUGACGCAGCAACGCCGCGUGCGGGAUGAAGGCCCUCGGGUUGUAAACCGCUUUCAGUGGGGAAGAUAAUGACGUUACCCACAGAAGAAGCACCGGCUAACUCCGU